rnacentral:misc_RNA from 1 species
CUUGCGCCCCGACUUGAACGGAGCUCUUUUUGUUUUUUUUGGUUCUCCCUUUAGGGAGUUAGAGGGUGAAAAAAACAAAAAAGCGGGAGUGGAAGGCGGAAAUAGGC